UACGGAGGGGGCUAGCGUUGUUCGGAAUUACUGGGCGUAAAGGGUGCGUAGGCGGCUGUCCAAGUCGGGUGUGAAAGCCCCGGGCUCAACCCGGGAUGUGCAUCCGAGACUGAAUGGCUUGAGUUCGGGAGAGGUGAGUGGAAUUCCCAGUGUAGAGGUGAAAUUCGUAGAUAUUGGGAAGAACACCGGUGGCGAAGGCGGCUCACUGGACCGACACUGACGCUGAGGCACGAAAGCGUGGGGAGCAAAC
rnacentral:rRNA from 1 species